rnacentral:rRNA from 1 species
GAUGAACGCUGGCGGCGUGCCUAAUACAUGCAAGUCGAGCGAACAGAUAAGGAGCUUGCUCCUUUGACGUUAGCGGCGGACGGGUGAGUAACACGUGGAUAACCUACCUAUAAGACUGGGAUAACUUCGGGAAACCGGAGCUAAUACCGGAUAACAUAUUGAACCGCAUGGUUCAAUAGUGAAAGACGGCUUUGCUGUCACUUAUAGAUGGAUCCGCGCCGCAUUAGCUAGUUGGUAAGGUAACGGCUUACCAAGGCAACGAUACGUAGCCGACCUGAGAGGGGGGACGGCCACACCGGAACUGAGACACGGUCCAGACUCCUACGGGAGGGAGCAGUAGGGAAUCUUCCGCAAUGGGCGAAAGCCUGACGGAGCAAAGCCGCGUGAGUGAUGAAGGUCUUCGGAUCGGAAAACUCUGUUAUCAGGGAAGAACAAAUGUGUAAGUAACUGAGCACAGCUUGACGGUACCUGAUCAGAAAGCCACGGCUAACUACGUG